UACGGGGGGGGCAAGCGUUGUUCGGAAUUACUGGGCGUAAAGGGCUCGUAGGCGGCCAACUAAGUCAGACGUGAAAUCCCCAGGCUCAACCUGGGAACUGCGUCUGAUACUGGAUGGCUUGAAUUCGGGAGAGGGAUGCAGAAUUCCAGGUGUAGCGGUGAAAUGCGUAGAUAUCUGGAGGAAUACCGGUGGCGAAGGCGGCAUCCUGGACCGACAUUGACGCUGAGGCGCGAAAGCCAGGGGAGCAAACGGG
rnacentral:rRNA from 1 species